CAGUCGCCGCGGUAAUACGGAGGGUGCAAGCGUUAAUCGGAAUUACUGGGCGUAAAGCGCACGCAGGCGGUUUGUUAAGUCAGAUGUGAAAUCCCCGAGCUUAACUUGGGAACUGCAUUUGAAACUGGCAAGCUAGAGUCUUGUAGAGGGGGGUAGAAUUCCAGGUGUAGCGGUGAAAUGCGUAGAGAUCUGGAGGAAUACCGGUGGCGAAGGCGGCCCCCUGGACAAAGACUGACGCUCAGGUGCGAAAGCGUGGGGAGCAAACAGGAUUAGAUACCCCGGUAGUCCCUGUCUCUUAUAA
rnacentral:rRNA from 1 species